GCAACUUUAGCUCAGUUGGGAGAGCGUCAGACUGAAGUACACUUCAAGUUCAGCAUCACGGUUCCGUGAUUGCAAUCUGAAGGUCACCCGUUCGAUCCGGGUAAGUUGCA